CGGGGGGCAGCAGUCGAGAAUUUUUCUCAAUGGGGGAAACCCUGAAGGAGCGACGCCGCGUGAAGGAUGAAGGUCUUCGGAUUGUAAACUUCUGUCAUUUGAGAACAAACUGCACGGGUUAACUGCCUGUGCACUGAUAGUAUCAGAAGAGGAAGAGACGGCUAACUCUGUGCCAGCAGCCGCGGUAAUACAGAGGUCUCGAGCGUUGUUCGGAUUCAUUGGGCGUAAAGGGUGCGUAGGUGGCUAGGUAAGUCGGAUGUGAAAUCCCGGGGCUCAACCCCGGAACUGCAUUCGAUACUGCUUGGCUUGAGUACUGGAGAGGAGAUUGGAAUUUACGGUGUAGCAGUGAAAUGCGUAGAUAUCGUAAGGAAGACCAGUGGCGAAGGCGGAUCUCUGGACAGUUACUGACACUGAGGCACGAAGGCCAGGGGAGCAAACGGGAUUAGAUACCCGAGU
rnacentral:rRNA from 1 species